rnacentral:rRNA from 1 species
UUGCCUACGGGAGGCAGCAGUGGGGAAUAUUGCACAAUGGGCGAAAGCCUGAUGCAGCAACGCCGCGUGAAGGAAGAAGGGUUUCGGCUCGUAAACUUCUAUCAACAGGGACGAAAGAAAUGACGGUACCUGAAUAAGAAGCCCCGGCUAACUACGUGCCAGCAGCCGCGGUAAUACGUAGGGAGCAAGCGUUAUCCGGAUUUAUUGGGUGUAAAGGGUGCGUAGACGGGAAAUUAAGUUAGUUGUGAAAUCCCUCGGCUCAACUGAGGAACUGCAACUAAAACUGGUUUUCUUGAGUGUUGGAG